CAGUUGGCAGAGCGGAGGACUGUAGUUGGUUUUAAAUUGCAAAUGGGCUUAGUCGGAUCUGAGUUGUAAAGAGAAGACAAGGUUACCAAUAAGGUAGUGCUUACUAAAAAAUGACUUCUUCUGCAACAAUGGCUCCUCACUGUAAUCAGGUUUUACAUUGCAAAUGGGCUUAGUCGGAUCUGAGUUGUAGUGCUUACUAAAAAAUGACUUCUUCUGCAACAAUGGCUCCUCACUGUAAUCAGUUUGAUUCAUACAUUUCGAUUCAGUUUACUAUGGAUUUUUUUGGGUUUCAAUUGUGUUGUGUGAUUAUUGGGAUUUGCUUACAUCAGUUGCCUAUAUUUUUGGUUAUUCAUUAUGUUGUGUUGCUGCUUGUUUUUAUGUUUGUUGUUUUAGUAUGAAUGUUGUAAUUUGGGGUUGGUUUGUAUAUGAAGUGCAAAGAAAUCCAAAUUUUGUUUAAUAGUUUGGUGAUUGAGUUUUGGGGAUUUGUAUUGAUAUUUGAUUUAAUUGGGAUUUUAUAUCUAUAUUUGAUUUAAGAGUUUUGGUUUGCUGCAUGAAUUAGUGCGUGAGUAAAUAGCUUUCAAGUGUCUUUACUGUUCAUUUUAUGACAGAACGAGUAGAUCAACCUGAAAUGAUAUUCAAGUAUUGCUCAAAUAGUCUGUUUUUAUUUUUUUCGAAAGGAGAAAGAGGUCACUUGUAUAGACUGACCCCUCUCCCAAAAUGUAUUGAAAACCUCACUUUUUGCGGAGGAAAACCAUGGUUACAGAGUUUUAGCACAAAACAACCAAAACGAAUAUUAUUCAAACAAGACAUAAGCAUAUAAAGUACUAUUAGACAAAGCUAUACAUCUGAUUUUUAGCUAUGGAUUCUGGAGGAGUAAGGAAAGGGACAAUAGCUUAGGAUGUAUUUCUACUCAAAAAUCUUUCUUGACUCUUUCAUAACGGUGAAGCAUGACUGUCAUAUCUGAUUUUGAUUUUUGGGUAUGAUUGUUGAAUCUAAGGAGUGGUCUGUUCUUUGAUUCUUGAGUUUUCUUUUGAUCUGUUCUUUGUUCUGAAGUCACUCUAAACAGUGAUGAAUACCCUAGUAACUACUAAGAAAGAGCCAAGUAAGAAUUUUGGAAUAGGAAACUAUAUCAUGAAGGUGAAAAUGGUCAAGGUAAGGGAUACGAAAUACCCUAGGUGUACUUAGUAACAUGUGGGUACAUUUGUAUAAUUAAUACAAUAGUUGUCGUUUUAGGAUUUCAUAUGAGAAGUAAAAUUUGCUUGAUUUCCAAAGACUUUGGUUGUUGAUGAUUGAAUAUUGAUAAUGGUCUUCUAGUUUGCAGCGGUCCCUGACUGUUCCCGACAUUGUUCGCACCAUGCUUAUGCAGAGGCUGUAUCAGAAAACAAGGCUUCUUGUGUGUACCAAAUACCCUUUCUCUCUUUCUUUCAAACCGGGCACCCGUUUUAGCCUCCUUUCAUGGAAAACUUACUUAAGGGUACUUGGAACUGUACAAAGCCAAUCAUCUUCCACACCUUCUGCUGAUUCCAGCCAAUAUGGCUUGAAUCAUAAAUCCAACAGUCAAACGUAUGAUGGUGCAAGUGGGUUUGGGAUGGUUGGCCUUCAAAAUCAAUUCAACGGUGCAGAGGAUGAGAGUUAUUGCAAUGAUGAAUUUGCAUCUGAUGUUGAAAAGAUCUAUAGAAUCUUAAGAAAAUUCCACUCUAGGGUCCCGAAGCUAGAGCUGGCCUUGCAAGAAUCUGGAAUCACUGUGCGUUCAGGCUUGGCUGAACGCGUCUUAAAUCGAUGUGGUGAUGCAGGGAACUUGGGGUACAGGUUCUUUGUGUGGGUGUCAAAGCAGCCUGGCUACAGACCCAGUUAUGAAGUUUACAAAGCCAUGAUCAAGUCAUUGGGGAAGAUGCGCCAAUUUGGUGCUGUUUGGGCACUACUCGAGGAGAUGAGGAAGGAGAACCCUCAGUUGAUAACAUCUGAAGUGUUUAUUGUUCUGAUGAGAAGGUUUGCUUCAGCUAGAAUGGUUAAAAAAGCAAUUGAAGUGUUGGAUGAAAUGCCCAAGUACGGCUGCGAACCCGAUGAGUAUGUCUUUGGUUGUUUGUUAGAUGCUUUGUGCAAGAAUGAUAGUGUUAAGGAAGCAGCUUCUUUAUUUGAAGACAUGAAGAUUCAGUUUAAGCCUAGUUUAAAGCAUUUUACUUCAUUGUUGUAUGGUUGGUGUAGAGAAGGGAAGCUUAUGGAGGCAAAAGUUGUACUGAUUCAGAUGAGAGAAGCGGGUUUUGAACCAGACAUUGUGGUUUAUAACAAUUUGCUUGGUGGGUAUUCUCAUGCUGGAAAAAUGGCGGACGCUUAUGAUCUUCUGAAAGAGAUGAAAGGGAAGGGCUGUGUUCCUACUGCAGUAUCGUAUACCAUUUUGAUUCAGGUUCUCUGCAAACAUGAGAAGAUGGAAGAAGCCAUGCGUAUUUUUAUUGAUAUGGAAAGGAGUGGCUGUCAUGCAGAUGCUAUGACUUACACUACUUUGAUAAGUGGGUUUUGUAAGUGGGGAAAGAUUGAAAAGGGUUAUGAGAUUUUGGAUAGUAUGAUCCAGCAAGGCCAUACUCCUAGUCAGAAUACCUAUUUGCAGAUUAUGUUGGCACACGAGAAGAAGGAAGAGCUGGAGGAAUGCUUGGAGCUCAUGGUGGAGAUGCAAAAGAUUGGUUCUGUUCCUGAUUUGAUCAUAUACAAUGCUGUGAUCCGGUUGGCAUGUAAACUAGGGGAAGUUAAAGAAGGUGUUCGAUUAUGGAAUGAAAUCGAAGCAACUGGGUUAAGUCCAGGGCUUGACACCUUUGUGAUUAUGAUUCAUGGCUUCCUUGGGCAAGGCUUUCUGGUUGAAGCUUGUCAAUACUUCAAAGAAAUGGUUGAGAGGGGUUUACUAUCUGCCCCACAAUAUGGUACGUUGAAGGAGCUAAUAAAUACUCUUUUACGAGCUGACAAGCUUGAAAUGGCUAAAGAUAUAUGGAGUUCCAUUGUGAAUAAAGGAUGUGAGAUUAAUGUUUCUGCCUGGACAAUAUGGAUUCAUUCACUGUACAAAAAUGGGCAUGUGAAGGAGGCUUGUUCCUACUGUUUGGACAUGAUAGAAGCGGAUGCAAUGCCACAAGCAGAUACUUUUGCUAAGUUAAUGCGUGGCUUAAGGAAACUAUAUAACAGAGAAAUUGCAGCUGAAAUUACGGAGAAGGUGAGGAAGAUGGCUGAAGAAAGACAGAUCACUUUUAAGAUGUAUAAGAGACGAGGAGAAAGGGAUUUGAUUGAAAAAGUGAAGGAGAAAGAUGAUGGGAGGAAACGAAGGGGUCGUAGACGACGCUGGGGUGGGGGGAGGCAUAGCAGUGCUAAAGCCUUGUAGUUUGAAUGAGUAAAUGAAACAAAGAAUAAGCUCUACUGAUUUGUUUGAGAAGAUUGCUUGCUUCACAUUAACAUUAAUUGGAUGCCCACUUUUGGCAGUGAGCACUAAAAUGUUAGUAUCCUUAGUUGUGAACUGCAGUGAAUUUGAAAACUACUUUUCAGAGAAGUGAUUAUUACAUUAUUCAGUGUGUAAAAAUUUCUGGUUUCAAUGCACUUGGCAAGAGUAGUCUUACCUUGAGAUGAAUAGAGAUUCACUUUGCACUUUUAGGAGCUUUUGUUGCGGAGAUCACCCCCUUUAUUAUCUAGAAGGCUACUCCUUGUGGUAAUGUUCUAAUUUAUGCAGUUAUGCCACAUUGAAAUCUUAUGGUCCUAUACUUGUAGCUUGUUGCAUAAUUAAUAUUUAAUAUGUAUGGAUUUAUGAAUAUUAAUUGUGACCGUUGUAAUACGUACGUAACACUAGAAGAUUUUCUUUUUGGUUGAAACUCAUGGAAGAUAACUCUGUCCUCCCUAGUUUGGCCAGGAGUUUUUCUAAUGAUUUUUAGUUCUCAAUAUUAACAGUGAUGCUAUACAUAGCCCUACUUUGUACUAAAUGAAUCCAUGGUAUUAUAUGAAGUUUUUUCAGGAGAAGAUAAAGCAGUAGUUAGAAGGGUUACUUGCUUGGAUGUUUCUGCAUUGUUAGAGUUAUGUCAUUUUCUUCGGUGAGAUACAUCGACAUGCCUUCAAAUAUUUUGGACUGGUACAACUUGUGUUUAAGGUACUUACAAAAUGUUAGCUAUUGGUAGUACUAGUACAUGAUAUCCUCCUACUUCUACUACUCUAGCCUUUCCUUUUUAGUUCUAUCAUUUUUUUAUCAAAUGAUGAAUGAUUGUCAGUCUUCUUUUUCAUUUUCUAAACAAUAAAAAAUAAUUUUUAAGCUAA